UACAGAGGGGGCUAGCGUUAUUCGGAAUUAUUGGGCGUAAAGGGCGCGUAGGCGGCCAUGCGUGUCUUCCGUGAAAUCCCUCGGCUUAACUGAGGACGUGCGGAAGAAACUGCAAGGCUCGAGUCCGGGAGAGGGGGGUGGAAUUCCCAGUGUAGCGGUGAAAUGCGUAGAUAUUGGGAGGAACACCAGCGGCGAAGGCGGCACUCUGGGCUGGUACUGACGCUGAGGAGCGAAAGCGUGGGUAGCGAACAGG
rnacentral:rRNA from 1 species